UACAGAGGGUGCAAGCGUUGUUCGGAAUUAUUGGGCGUAAAGGGCGUGUAGGCGGUUUGCUAAGUCAUGUGUGAAAUCCCCCGGCUUAACCGAGGAACGACGCAUGAUACUGGCAAGCUAGAGUACCAAAGAGGGGUGGAAUUCCGUGGUGUAGCGGUGAAAUGCGCAGAUAUCAGGAAGAACACCAAUGGCGAAGGCAGUUCUCUGGGACGGUACCUGACGCUGAGACGCGAAAGCGUGGGAGCGAACAGG
rnacentral:rRNA from 1 species